UGGGGAAUAUUGCACAAUGGACGGAAGUCUGAUGCAGCAACGCCGCGUGCGGGAUGACGGCCUUCGGGUUGUAAACCGCUUUUUCUCAUGACGAAGUUUUUUGACGGUAGUGGGGGAAGAAGCACCGGCUAACUACGUGCCAGCAGCCGCGGUGAUACGUAGGGUGCGAGCGUUGUCCGGAAUUAUUGGGCGUAAAGAGCUUGUAGGCGGUUUGUCGCGUCGAUAGUGCAAACUCAGUGCUUAACGCUGAGCCUGCUGUUGAUACGGGCAGACUAGAGGAAGGGAGGGGAGAAUGGAAUUCCCGGUGGAGCGGUGGAAUGCGCAGAUAUCGGGAGGAACACCGGUGGCGAAGGCGGUUCUCUGGGCCUUUCCUGACGCUGAGAAGCGAAAGCGUGGGGAGCGAACAGG
rnacentral:rRNA from 1 species